rnacentral:misc_RNA from 1 species
AUGAAGAACGUAGCGAAAUGCGAUACGUAAUGUGAAUUGCAGAAUUCAGUGAAUCAUCGAAUCUUUGAACGCAUAUUGCGCUCUCUGGUAUUCCGGAGAGCAUGCUUGUUUGAGUAUCAGUAAACACCUCAACUCCCUUUUCUUUUUUGAAAUUGGAGCUGGACUUGAGUGAUCCCAACGCUUUCUUCCAAGAAAGUGGCGGGUUGCUUGAAAUGCAGGUGCAGCUGAACUUUUCUCUGAGCUAUAAGCAUAUCUAUUUAGUCUGCCUAAAAAACAGAUUAUUACCUUUGCUGCAGCUAACAUAAAGGAGACUAGUUCUUGUGCUGACUGAUGCAGGAUUCACAGAGACAGCUUCGGCUGACUUUGUAAACUCGAUCUCAAAUCAAGUAAGACUACCCGCUGAACUUAAGCAUAUCAAUAAGCGGAGGA